CCUGUCCGCUCCCCCACCCUCACCCCUCCGCCCCCACUCAGGCCCCGGCGCCAAGGAAACCGGCCGCCCCGCAAGCACCGCACUGGCGGCACGGAGGCGGCGGCCGGGAAAGGCCCCGCAGAGCGCCGCGCUGCCUUCCGGGCACACAGAUGCCCGCCCUUCCCUCGCUCGCUCCGAGGCGCCUCCCCAGAAAGGGCAACCCUCAGACCUGAGAAGGCACAGCCUCCGGGACCACCCCCACCGGGCUAGAGAGCGCCUCUAGCUUCCCAGAGGCGGCAAAGAAGGUACCUGGGAGAACUCACAACUGCUUUCUGCUGGGCCAGAAGCAUUUGUAUCCUGACCAUCUGUGGGGUCUUGCUCAGAGUUACAGAAAGGCCUCUCACAUUCAGAUGAAUGCAGAAGAUCCAAGGGAGAAUCCAAGAUGGAGGAAGCCUGAAUCCCCUUCCAGGACAGUCCACUGAAAACAUCCAGUGAGCCUGUGCCUCGGGAAGAGAAUAAACCUUUAUUGUAGUAAGCCACUAAGAAUGAAUGUUCUUUGUUUCAGCAGCUGGCGUUAUCCUGACUAACACAGCUCUAAAGAGCUCCCUGUGAUGGCUUCCAGAAAAUGUCUGGGAUGAUCAGUUUAAGCAGGAUUUCCAUAAACGUGUGACGGUUCCACAGAUAUCUCAAGGUAGAGCCAUGAGUCUGGACGAAAAUCACAUGGCUACAUGGAUGAUGAGCCAGGAUUUGAAUGGAAGUCUGUCUGAUCCCAAAGCCAGUGCUCUCUUCACUCCUCACACUGCCCCAAACAAAGAGGUGUUUAGAUGUUUUGAGUGAUGAUGAUGAUGAUAGACUCAACGGUUCUAUGUAAUUUACUCUCUGGCACAUUUGUGCUAUAAAUUACUGGAGAACUUCCACCACUCCCCACAAGCCAAUGGGGUUGAAUAUAAUGACACCCUGUAAUCCCCAUUUUUGUGUCAACAUCAUCCCCAGGUGCUCAAAGGAGGGUAGUUAACACUAUUAUCAUUUUUUCCAGCUAGCAAUCUAAAUGUUUACCAGUUUGGUAAAAGACUUUUGGGACCUUGCCAUAAAUGCACAGGUCUUCCUUCUCCAUCAACUCUUUCCUUCCUAGGUCAACCAUCCCAGCCAGAAACUGGGCUCUAUGCCUCCCCUAGCUGAAUAAAUGCAUCUUCUUUCUCCCUGCAAUGUUAGAAGGGCAGGUGACUGAACAUCCAUAUCCUAGUUUCUACUUCUGUAAAAUGGGGGUAUGACACCUACCACAUACAGUUGCUGUGAGAUUUAAAUAAGAUAAGCAGUAAACUGGUGGCAUAUAAUAUGCCAUUUGUUUUUAUGGAUGACCCCCCUCCCCUGCCCCCCACAAUCUUCAGGGUUCUUACCAAAUAUCAAAUGAUUCUUGAUAUUUUGUAAAUACAUUUGCCGGUCUUAUUGUGUUGUCCAUGUGUUUCAUAUCUGGUUAUGUCAGCCUGGUAUAUCUUUGACCUUAAACUCCAAAUAGGCAGAAACCCACAGUUGCUAAAUAUGUGUAGGUCCCAUGAUCAUACUCUUCACUCAUUACCUUCCAACCAUAAUAAAAAAUCAUUGAGCACUUUCUAUCUUUGUGAGCUUUAUGCUAGGAGGCUCCCAAAUAAGACUCUGUUUCUGCCCACAAGGACCAUCAGAGAGGUGAUUUUAAAAGGCAUAGCAGUUUAUUAUUCUUCUUGAAAAUAGCAUUUUAAACAUCUGACUACAGAAAUACAUGCUCGUUGUAAAAAAUUAUAGGUAAAACACCCAGGAAAGAAAACUACCCAAGAAAUAAUCACUGUUAUCUUUUAGAACCUAUUCUUCUAAUCUUUUUCCUAUUGCACAUAUAUACACAUUUUACAAAAAUGCCAUCAUACUGUGUACACAUUUUUGUAACCUGCUUGAAUAUUUUACACGUUAUUAAAGAUUCUCCUCUG